GGGCUUGUAGCUCAGUUGGCUAGAGCGCGCCCCUGAUAAGGGCGAGGUCGUUGGUUCGAAUCCAAUCAGGCCCA
rnacentral:tRNA from 1 species